UGGCGGCAGUCCAGUCCACCUUAUAUAUCGUCCUCGCCAUAUAACACCUUCUCCACGGCCUUCUCCACCUCCUGCUCCACCUCAACAUUCUCCACAGCCUUCCCCUUGACCUGCACGGCCUACUAAACGCUCGUCGCUGCCCAACACGCGUUAAUAUUAAGCCAUUAGAGGGAAGAUAUUGUGGGCCAUGGUGCCAAGUUGUGAUUUUCAAGGGUGGUUUAAGCGCCAAGUGUCUACGAGAGUGCCACAAAGGGUAUGGCCGUAGUAUUCAAGGGCCAUGGACCACCGAGGGGCCAUUAGAGGGAAGAUACUGUGGGCCAUGGUGCCAAGUGUACGAGGGUGCCACAGAGAGUUAGGUAGACGCCCCUGCCAUGGCCUUACUCAACUAGGGCCAUGGACCACCGGAGGGCCAUUGGAGGGGAGAAAUAAUGGUCCAUAGUGCCAUAUUUUGUGAUUUUCAAGGAGUAGCUGUGAAUGGCCUCAAUGAAGAAUGCGAGAAGUCUGAACAUGAGAUACAGGAGGAGGGCCUGAUACGACAAGAAUGUGGCUUCACAUACAGGGGAUGCAUUUGAGAUUAAGGUCUGUGCGGAGGUGGGGGAGGAAGACUGCAGGAGGCUGUAGAGGGGUGGAUUGGGUGAAGGGGGACUUGACAACACUACCAUGCAAGCUGGGCUAAGGUAAUGUAUGAUUGGUUUUGUUACGCUCAAAGGGAAGGGCGAUCCCAGAUACGUCGCAGAGGCGCUGUUUUGGCCUGGCCGUAGUGAGUUUCUUUAUGUGCACCAUUUAAUUCUGCAUGUUUUCGUAUAUAAUACAUGAUGAUUAUGUUGAGUUUAUGGCUGAAAGCUUGUUAUAUUCAAUAGCGACAUUUGAAAUUUAGCGCGCGCGGCGAUCUCGGAUACAGCAGAGGGCGCUGUUUUGGCCUGGCCGUAGUGAGUUUCUUUAUGUGCACCAUUUAAUUCUGCAUGUUUUCGUAUAUAAUACAUGAUGAUUAUGUUGAGUUUAUGGCUGAAAGCUUGUUAUAUUCAAUAGCGACAUUUGAAAUUUGGCGCGCACGGUGAUCUCGGAUAUGGUCCGGGGCGCUGUUUUGGCCCGGCCGUAGUGAAGGGGUUAAGUGUAGUCUAUGAAGGCUAAUUAUCUAUAAGUAUUUAAGUGUAAGGUUCUGUGGGGUAACUAAUCUAAGUGUAAUGGUGCAUUCUGUGGGAAUUACUUAAGUGUAAUCUAUGAAGGCUACAUCUAUAAGUAUAUAAGUAUGUAAGGUCCUGUGGGAUAACUAAUCUAAGGUUAUGUACAACUACUGGUUCUGGUGCUGUGGGUAACUCCUACAAACCCUUUCUACUAUGGCUAUUAAUUAACAAAAACCUCUUACUUUCAGCUUGUGUACUGGGUUAAAAAAUAGUUAAUGUUAGAGCUGGAAGCAUCUGACAAUCCCAUCUCUUUCUUACAGGCCAAGCACUACAGAGGAGGAGGAGGAG